GGGGGCUGCCUCAAGUCCCAAUCCCACACACAAUUCAAUAAAGGUAAGAGAUCCAUUCUCCUAUCACGCAAUAUAUGUUCCCCAGUGCCCAUGCAGUACAACCAAUGCUGCACCACACAUAUUGUGUUUCAUGGACUGUAUAUAUUUGCUCCAUGUAUCAUACUCCUCUUUGCAUGUGGAUUUACUAGCAUCAUAUAGGAGCAAAUCAAGAUGGUGAUUUUUAUUGAUUUUAUAUCGUCAUGGCUGUAGAGCCAUUGUGCUUCUCUCUGAC